GCACUAUACUUACCAGGGGAACCUGGCCCUUAAUUCGAUAGUCCACGAACAUCUUACCUUUCCUUGUUUAAACAUGCCCCUAGGGGGCAUGUUUCUAUCAGUUUGCAUACCGCCGUUUUCAGCCUGUGUCGUGAGAUAAAAGAAAUAGGCUAUCCAGCAUUGUGAGCGUGGCCACCUUAAGGCGACCUCAUUGCUAAGAAUUCAGGUAAACGUGUAGCCAAUGGAAAGGGGGUGCUGGGUUACAAUUGAAGCUUGAAAUGGAAGGUGGCCUGAAUGGGCCAUCCGAAAGAGUACUUGGAAGUAAUGGCUUUGGGCAAUGAAGCCGUGAAUCUCGCUCUGGUGCGUGU
rnacentral:rRNA from 1 species